CCUACGGGUGGCAGCAGUGAGGAAUAUUGGUCAAUGGACGCAAGUCUGAACCAGCCAUGCCGCGUGCAGGAGGACGGCUCUAUGAGUUGUAAACUGCUUUUGUAAGGGAGUAAAGCCCGAGACGCGUACCGGGUUGAAAGUAUCGGAAGAAAAAGGAUCGGCUAACUCCGUGCCAGCAGCCGCGGUAAUACGGAGGAUCCGAGCGUUAUCCGGAUUUAUUGGGGUUAAAGGGUGCGGAGGCGGUUUGGUAAGUUAGAGGUGAAAGGCCGGGGCUCAACCCCGGCCCUGCCUCUAAAACUGUUAGACUAGAGUGUAGGUGCGGUAGGCGGAAUGUACGGUGUAGCGGUGAAAUGCAUAGAGAUCGUACAGAACUCCGAUUGCGAAGGCAGCAUGCCGAC
rnacentral:rRNA from 1 species